CCCUUAGAUGUUCUGGGCCGCACGCGCGCUACACUGACGAAUGCAACGAGCUUAUAACCUUGGCCGAAAGGUCUGGGUAAUCUCCAAAUUUCGUCGUGAUGGGGAUAGAUUAUUGCAAUUAUUAAUCUUCAACGAGGAACGCCUAGUAAGCGCAAGUCAUCAGCUUGCGUUGAUUACGUCCCUGCCCUUUGUACACACCGCCCGUCGCUCCUACCGAUUGAAUGGUCCGGUGAAGCGCUCGGACCGCGGCCUCUUGACGGUUCGCUGUCGAUUGGCUGUGGGAAGUUCGUUAAACCUUAUCAUUUAGAGGAAGGAGAAGUCGUAACA
rnacentral:rRNA from 1 species